rnacentral:misc_RNA from 1 species
CUCUAACAUGGCUGUGUGAGGUGAAUGAUGCUCGUGCUCGCGGAAAUACUGGUGAUUUGCCCUCUCAGGGAAGGCUAAUAAUGUCGAGACUUGCGGAUUAUUUUGCCAUCGUUGGAUACGACCACACGAAAGACCGCAAUGGAAUUGGUAGCGGAAAAAUUAUCCAGCGGUUCCCUGAGCGGGACUGGCCAGAUACCCCAUUUAUUGAGGGCCUGGAACUGUUCUGUCAGCCACAAGGUUGGGCACUGUCAACCGAUCGUCAGGAGCCCAAAUAUUUUGUCUCGGUGCUGACAGACAUAGAUGCUAAUCGCCACUACUGUGCAGUUCUGUGUUUUAAUGAAGCUGUCUCCAUCACCCCAAGUAAACCUACUGAUGAAGAAGAUGAUGCCUUGGAGCUGGGCAGUGGAGGCAUACGAGGCAUGGGUCCGCCAGUCCCUAUCAUCACACACCACUCAAUCAUGUACGCCCCAAAGUGCCUCGUCCUCAUCUCAACACUUGACUACUUUGAAACGUUUCGAAACUGUAUGGGGAUUGUGUACACGGUGUAUAUGGAAGGCUUGGGGGUGAGCAUGGAGACACUCAUUGGCAACAUGGUGGGUUAUGUCCAAGUGCCGCCGCCUGGAGGACCGCAGGUUCGGUUCAGCAUUGGUGCCGGUGACAGACAAGCUCUCCAACCUCCAGCCUCCCCAACUCUCCCAGUCACCACCACCACCGUCCUCAGUCUCUUCAAUCAGUUAGGUAUCAAGAAUGUUCUGGUGCUAUUCUGCUCAGCUUUAACCGAACACAAGAUUCUCUUUCACAGUCAAUCUUACUGCAGACUCACAGAAUCUUGCCAUGCCCUCAAAGCCCUUCUUUACCCAUUCAAGUACUCACAUGUCUACAUUCCAAUUCUUCCUGCUACACUUGUAGAAGUUCUCUCCACUCCCACACCAUUCAUUAUGGGGGUGCACUCUUCUCUCCAACACGAUAUUGCUGAACUGAUGGAUGUCAUUGUGGCAGACCUGGAUGGAGGAGCAAUUCGUGUUCCAGAAAGCUUGACUUUUUCUCUUCUUCCAGAACCUUUCUGGUCCCAAACACAUGCUGCUCUCUCUAGGGUAUUGCACCCUGAUCUCAACUCUGCAGACAAUGCUUUUCCCUCCAGCAGUGGCAUUAGAGCUUCUCCGCACAUCAUGAUUGACAAGGAAAUUAGAGCAAUUUUUAUGCGAAUGUUUGCCGAGUUGUUACAAGGCUACCGCUCGUGUCUCACUCUUAUCAGAAUACACUCAAAACCUGUUAUAACAUUUCAUAAGGCAUCCUUCCUAGGCAACAGAGGGAUGGUAGACAACGAUUUUGUAGGGAAGGUUUUGGACUGCAUGUUCUUCACCACUUUUGUAUCGGAGAGAGGACCACCGUGGCGCGUGUGUGAUUUGUGGGAUGAUCUCUACUCGGGUAUCGGGGACCAAUUGCGCCUGGAACAACACGAUAGUCGAAUGCUUCUAGUCCAUAUUCAGGAACUUGCUCAGCAGCUGUAUAGCAAUGAGAACCCUAACCCCCAGCCAUUUGUUGCUAAGAUUCCAAAGCCUACCGAAGGUUCAUUUACUCGAAUCCACCAACCUGUCUUCCCACACAUCGAUGCUCAGAAAGUGCAGAGCAUUAUUGAUGAGGGCACAGCCAAAAAAGUUAAGAUUCCGCAGAAGGCUGGCCAGCCCAGAAUUGUUCCCAUGGGGCCUCACAUCUCUAGUCUUCAAUCUGGCCGAGGCAUGGUAUCCAGUUCUGCUAGAAGAUUAGAAGUAAUGAGAAAUUGUGUUAACUGCAUAUUUGAAAAUAAAAUUAGUGAUGCCAGGAAGACCUUCCCCGCUGUCUUACGAGCUCUGAAGAGUAAAGCUGCACGCUUGGCCCUGUGUACUGAGCUGAGCCAUCAUGUACAGGGUAACAAAGCUGUACUUGAACACCAACAGUUUGAUCUAGUUGUUCGUCUCAUGAAUUGUGCACUGCAGGAUGAUUCUCCAGUUGAUGAACACGGAGUGGCUGCGGCCCUUCUUCCACUAUCCACUGCCUUUUGUCGUAAGCUAUGCACGGGAGUUAUCCAGUUUGCAUAUACUUGUAUCCAGGACCACACUGUGUGGGGUAAUCAGCAGUUUUGGGAAGCAUCAUUUUAUCAAGAUGUCCAGAAGGAGAUCAAGAGCCUCUACCAAGAUCGAUCACAACAGACAAGUCGUACCUCAAUCUGUUCAGAUAUAUCUUGUGUCAAGGAUCCAUCUCUUAGUCCGGUUAACCCUAGAGAUCCCUCAGAUACAGGCUCCUGGAAAGAAGGAAGAUUAUCAUACUACAGACCUCACGAGCCAUCGGCGCUUGAGAUAGCAGCAGAACAAAUGAGACUCUGGCCCAACAUUGAUCCAAAAAAACAGCGUGAAUUAUUUGAACAGGAGGAAUCUACACUCUACUCACAAGCUAUCCAUUAUGCAAAUAGAAUGGUAUUUCUACGAAUACCUUUAGAUAUCAACGCAGCUGUUCAUAGACGUACAUAUAAUGAUAGAGACAAUGCGAGUAACAGCAUAACUAACAGUAUGGCAGAAAGUGACAGCUUAGAUGCCGAGUCUGGGUUUGAGGACCAGGAACAGAGUGAUCGGGAGGCAAGUGUAAUACGUUUUGUCUCCAGAUUUGUGGACAAGGUGUGCACUGAAGGAAGUGUUACAGAGGAGCACAUAAAGUCGUUACAUCAGAUGAUUCCGGGUGUGGUAGCUAUGCACGUGGAGAUGCUGGAUGCUGUGUACAAAGAAUCUAAACGCUUACCGCCAAUACAGAAGUCGACUAUAUACAUCAGACGUGAUGCAUAUAGACAGAGUGUAGAUGGUACUUACAAACCUGACUCAAGGUACACUGAAAUAGUUUAUGGUCAGCCAAAGAUUCUGGUGCCAUCGUUAGUACCGGGAGAGGAAGUUAUGUACGAGGGUCUACGGGUUUACUUGCUGCCAGAUGGUCGAGAGGAGUCGACCGGAGGUCAUGUGGGAGGUCCUAUGUUACUGCCUGCUGAAGGGGCAUUAUUCCUCACCAACUACAGACUUGUAUUUAAGGGUCUUCCAACUGAUCCUUACGCAUGUGAACAAGUAGUUGUGCGAUCUAUGCCUGUGUCAUCUAUAACAAGAGAAAAACGAGUACCAGCCAAUCAGCAUCCAGGACCUAUGGAUCAGUGGCUCAAUGAAGGCCUUCAGAUACGAUCUAACACCUUCCAGCUGAUUAAAGUGGCCUUUGAUGAAGAAGUUCCUCAGGAGAGUAUUGAAACGAUGCGAAAAUUAAUAAAUCGGAUGCGACACCCACCUAAUAUCCACCAUCUAUUUGCUUUCGUGGGCCACAGUCACGUGCCUCAGACACCCAGCAGACAACAGAAAGAUAAGCCUGGCUAUGGUACCUUGAGAGGAUUUGCAAAGAAAACCCUCUUGAAAACUGCCAAAGCUGCAGGUCUAAAACCAAGCAAAGGAGGUAAAAGACACAAAUACGUAUUCCCUAGUAAUAACAAGUCUAUGACCUCCCCUGGACGUAUGAGCCUUGCCCAGAUGACCAAUAUGGACUUGAGUAACGAAGAUUUGCCCCACGACGACGACUUGUCUAGUUCGAGCGCUCGAUAUGGCUUCCUAGGUACAAGUAACAAAGGACAGUGUAAGCUGCUGCGUGUAACAUCGCCCGUGAGCCGCAGCUCCGAGGAAUUGGGCUGCGAAGGGAGGCUCUCGCCCAUUGUAGAUGAGCUAGAAGCAUCUGGUUUAAGCAACGGAUCAACUGGGCAACUGUCUGUAGCUGGGUUGGUUGGACUUCGGGAGGUAGAUAAUAAAACGCUGGAAAAACUGUCUGAACGCAGCUAUCACAAAGAUUACAUGCGUCUUGGUCUUGGCAGUCUUGGAAGUAAUGCCACUACAGUGCCACCAAGAACUAAAUCUGAAUUUAGAGUUACAUCCUGCAAUAUCAGUUAUCAGAUAUGCAGAAGCUACCCAGCCCUACUCUCCGUGCCGUCCAUUACUGGUGACGAUAGUCUUCAUCGGCUUGCUCGUUGCUACCGCCACAACCGUUUACCAGUCAUCACUUGGCGACACCCUCGUACAAAAGCUUUACUUUUGAGAGGGGCUGGCUUUCAUGGCAUGGGUGUUAGGAGCAUGCUCAUAGGACCGUCAACAAACACAGGCAAUACUAGUGAAGUGUCACACUCAGUUGAACAAGAGAAAUACUUAGCUUCAGUAGUUCAGUCAACACCCGUGUCAGUUCUCCGAGAUGGUUCCUCGUGGCGACUUACAGAUUCCACCCUCUCCAUAAACUCCUUGGUGCUGGCAGCAGGGGGCCCAACCUUAGAAGUUCCCCCAUAUCAUCCUACUUACCCUACACUCACACCUGAAGUUUGCAGGAAAACAAACCCCCUUUCGAAGGCCAUGAACACGUUACGGACAAGCGGGGGCAAGGGUACUGGCAGGAUGGGGCGGUGGGGCUCCAUACGUGGGUCACGUCUGGGUGUCCUGUCCGGUGGUGGGGCUGGAGGGACCCUCGGGACCCUCCGCCACUACCCUACAACCACCACUGCCCUUCGUUCCAGCAUCAGCACGGGGCCAAGACUCUCUGUUGAUUCUUCUGACACUGGUUCUGAAGCAGUACAAUCCUUCCACAAGGCUGCUCUCUAUGUUUUUGGUGAAAAGACACAAAUUAAGGGCAUCAAGACGGAUGCUUACCAUAAAACUGAGUUCAUCCCAGUAGACUUCACCGAGGUACGACAGAUCAAAUCUUCAUUUAAGAAGUUGAUGAGAGCCUGCAUACCUUCUUCCCCAACUGCUGAGCAAGAACAGUCCUUUUUCAGGGCAAUUGAGAACAGCGAGUGGCUGAACCAACUAGAAUCUCUACUGCAGGUUUCUGGGGCCAUAGUUGACCUUAUAGACCUGCUUGGUGCAUCCGUUAUGGUGCUACUGGAGGAUGGGUGGGACUUUACUGCUCAAGUUACUAGCAUAGCCCAGCUGUGCCUUGACCCAUACUACCGAACUAUUGAGGGAUUUCGAGUUUUGGUGGAGAAGGAAUGGCUAGCUUUUGGUCACAGAUUCAACCACCGAUCAAAUCUCCUUCAAGGAUCCCAAGCUAGUGGAUUUGCUCCCAUCUUUUUACAAUUUCUUGAUGCUGUGCACCAGAUUCAACGCCAAUUUCCCUUAUCUUUUGAAUUCAAUGAGUACUACCUCCGAUUCUUGGCUUAUCACUAUGUUUCUGCACGUUUCCGCACUUUCCUGAGUGAUUCUGAGUUGGAGAGAGCCGAGUUGGGAAUUAUGACUGAAGAGGACAAACGGGGAUCCCUCUCUCGGCAUCAUAAAGGUCUGGAAGCAACGCAGGAUGAUGAUAUUUAUCCGGGAGGGGGCCGUUUAGGAUCACCUGGAUCAUCAGGUCACCUCGGACAGUCUGUAUUUGACUAUAUAGAAAAACUGAGUGGACGCUCUACAGUCUUCCACAACUUCCUGUACAUGGGUGAUAGAAUAAGUGACUCAGCAGUAUGUAUUUAGUGUGGGUGCAUGGUUCCACUAACUUUGGCAAAUGUGCAUGGACUUAAUAGGUGCUACGACCAGUGAAAGAAGUUAGUGCUCUCCAAUUAUGGAAUUACUUGCUUGGAGAGGAGCUGCGUCACGGGCCAUCAUAUGACCCUGAGGUUCGGAACUUAGACAGACAACAGGAGGAGGAGGCUGAAGCGGC